GAUGAACGCUGACAGAAUGCUUAACACAUGCAAGUCUUUGGCGAAGCUGUGCUUGCACAGCCUAGCCAAGGCGGACGGGUGAGUAACGCGUAAGGAACUUGCCCUGCAGUCAGGGAUAACAGACGGAAACGAUUGAUAAGACCUGGUAAAGUCAGGCGGACUCAUGUCCAGCCUGAUGAAAAGAGAUGCUGCAGGAGAGCCUUGCGUCCUAUUAGCUUGUUGGUGGGGUAACGGCCCACCAAGGCGAUGAUAGGUAGCCGGCCUGAGAGGGUGGACGGCCACAAGGGGACUGAGAUACGGCCCUUACUCCUACGGGAGGCAGCAGUGGGGAAUAUUGGACAAUGGGGGCAACCCUGAUCCAGCAAUUCUGUGUGCACGAUGAAGGUUUUCGGAUUGUAAAGUGCUUUCAGCAGGGAAGAAAAAAAUGACGGU
rnacentral:rRNA from 1 species